rnacentral:miRNA from 1 species
UACCUCAUUGACCAGAAGGAAUCCCUUCUGGCCAAUGAGGCUGUUACAUCUCAUCAAUCAGAAGGAAUUCCUUCCGGUCAAUGAGGUA